rnacentral:rRNA from 1 species
CCGCGGUAAUACGAAGGGUGCAAGCGUUACUCGGAAUUACUGGGCGUAAAGCGUGCGUAGGUGGUUUGUUAAGUCUGAUGUGAAAGCCCUGGGCUCAACCUGGGAAUUGCAUUGGAUACUGGCAGGCUAGAGUGCGGUAGAGGGUAGUGGAAUUCCCGGUGUAGCAGUGAAAUGCGUAGAGAUCGGGAGGAACAUCUGUGGCGAAGGCGACUACCUGGACCAGCACUGACACUGAGGCACGAAAGCGUGG